CAACUUUCAGCAACGGAUCUCUUGGCUCUCGCAUCGAUGAAGAACGCAGCGAAAUGCGAUAAGUAAUGUGAAUUGCAGAAUUCAGUGAAUCAUCGAAUCUUUGAACGCACCUUGCGCUCCUUGGUAUUCCGAGGAGCAUGCCUGUUUGAGUGUCAUUAAUAU
rnacentral:rRNA from 1 species